ACGUAGGGGGCAAGCGUUGAUCGGAAUCACUGGGCUUACAGCGCGUGUAGGCGGGGCGGCAGGUCUUCUGUGAGAGCCCCCGGCUCAACCGGGGAAUUGCAGGGGAAACCGCCGCUCUUGAGGCAGGUAGAGGUGACCGGAACGUGUGGUGGAGCGGUGAAAUGCGUAGAUAUCACACGGAACGCCGGUGGUGAAAACGGGUCACUGGGCCUGUCCUGACGCUCAGGGACGAAAGCGUGGGGAGCGAAAGG
rnacentral:rRNA from 1 species